rnacentral:tRNA from 3 species
GCCCAGGUAGCUCAAUCGGUAGAGCGUGUGGCUCUUAACUUCAAGGUCGCAGGUUCAAGCCCCGCCUCGGGCU